UCUGGUGAUGACGGCGUAGAGGUAACACUCCUUUCCAUUCCGAACAGGACAGUUAAGGUCUACAGCGCUGAUGGUACUGCACGGGAGACUGUGUGGAAGAGUAAGACGUCGCCAGGU
rfam:Clostridium saccharobutylicum DSM 13864, complete genome.